AUUAGGUUAUGGGGCUAGGGUUAGGUUUAAGGUUUUUGGCGUUAGGGUUAAAAUAACUGUCCAAAACCUUUGUAGGGACUCUUUUCCAACCUUUGGGAAUUAGUUAGACAAAAAAAAAAAGAUAAAUGAAAAAAAGAAUAUUUGGGGUGUUCGGGCUUCCUGAAGGAAAUACCCGGGUAUUAGGUUUUGGGGCUAGGGUUAGGUUUAAGGUUUUUGGCGUUAGGGUUAAAAUAACUGUCCAAUAUUUUUUAAGGAACAUGUUUCAGACCUUUGGGAGUUAGUUAGACAAAAAACAAAGAAAAAGAAAAAAAAAAUAUUUGGGGUGUUCGGGUUUCCUGAAGGUAAUACCCGGGUAUUAGGUUAUGGGGCGAGGGUAAGGUUUAAGGUUUUUGGCGUUAGGGUUAAAAUCACUGUCCAAAACCUUUUUAGGAACAUGUUUCAGACCUUUUGGAGUUGGUAACACCAAAAAAAAAUGUAAAAUGAAAAAAAAAUAUUUGGGGUGUUCAAGCUUCCUAAAGGUAAUACCCGGGUAUUAGGUUUUGGGGCUAGGGUAAGGUUUAAGGUUUUUGGUGUUAGGGUUUAAAUCACUGUCCAAAACCUUUGUAGGAAGUCUUUUCCAACCUUUUGGAGUUAGUUAGACAAAAAAAGAAACAAAUGAAAAAAAAAUGUUUAGGGUGUUCGGGCUUCCUGAAGGUAAUACCCGGGUAUUAGGUUUUGGGGCUAGGGUUAGGUUUAAGGUUUUUGGCGUUAGGGUUAAAAUAACUGUCCAAAACCUUUGUAGGAACUCUUUUCCAACCUUUGGGAAUUAGUUAGACAAAAAAAAAAAGAUAAAUGAAAAAAAAAAAUAUUUGGGGUGUACGGGCUUCCUGAAGGAAAUAUUAGGUUUUGGGGCUAAGGUUAGGUUUAAGGUUUUUGGCGUUAGGGUUAAAAUGACUGUCCAAUAUUUUUUAAGGAACAUCUUUCAGACCUUUGGGAGUUAGUUAGACAAAAAAAAAGUUUUUUUUAAGGUUUUUGGCGUUAGGGUUAAAAUAACUGUCCAAAACCUUUGUAGGAACUCUUUUCCAACCUUUGGGAAUUAGUUAGACAGAAAAAAAAAGAUAAAUGAAAAAAAGAAUAUUUGGGGUGUUCGGGCUUCCUGAAGGAAAUACCCGGGUAUUAGGUUUUGGGGCUAGGGUUAGGUUUAAGGUUUUUGGCGUUAGGGUUAAAAUAACUGUCCAAUAUUUUUUAAGGAACAUGUUUCAGACCUUUGGGAGUUAGUUAGACAAAAAACAAAGAAAAAGAAAAAAAAAAUAUUUGGGGUGUUCGGGUUUCCUGAAGGUAAUACCCGGGUAUUAGGUUAUGGGGCGAGGGUAAGGUUUAAGGUUUUUGGCGUUAGGGUUAAAAUCACUGUCCAAAACCUUUUUAGGAACAUGUUUCAGACCUUUUGGAGCUGGUAACACCAAAAAAAAAUGUAAAAUGAAAAAAAAAUAUUUGGGGUUUUCAAGCUUCCUAAAGGUAAUACCCGGGUAUUAGGUUUUGGGGCUAGGGUAAGGUUUAAGGUUUUUGGUGUUAGGGUUUAAAUCACUGUCCAAAACCUUUGUAGGAAGUCUUUUCCAACCUUUUGGAGUUAGUUAGACAAAAAAAAAAACAAAUGAAAAAAAAAUGUUUAGGGUGUUCGGGCUUCCUGAAGGUAAUACCCGGGUAUUAGGUUAUGGGGCUAGGGUAAGGUUUAAGGUUUUUGGCGUAAGGGUUAAAAUCACUGUCCAAAACCUUUUUAGGAACAUGUUUCAGACCUUUAGGAGUUGGUUACACCAAAAAAAAUGUAAAAUGAAAAAAAAUUUUUUGGGGGUGUUCGGGCUUCCUGAAGGUAAUACUUUGUAUUACCUUUGUAGGAAGUCUUUUCCAACCUUUUGGAGUUAGUCUUUUGUAGGAAGUCUUUUCCAACCUUUUGGAGUUAGUUAGACAAAAAAAAAAAAGAUAAAUGAAAAAAAAGUAUUUGGGGUGUUCGGGCUUCCUGAAGGUAAUACCCGGGUAUUAGGUUAUGGGGCUAGGGUAAGGUUUAAGGUUUUUGGCGUAAGGGUUAAAAUCACUGUCCAAAACCUUUUUAGGAACGUGUUUCAGACCUUUUGGAGUUGGUUACACCAAAAAAAAUGUAAAAUGAAAAAAAAAUUUUUUUGGGUGUUCGGGCUUCCUGAAGGUAAUACUUUGUAUUACCUUUGUAGGAAGUCUUUUCCAACCUUUUGGAGUUAGUCUUUUGUAGGAAGUCUUUUCCAACCUUUUGGAGUUAGUUCGACUAAAAAAAAAGAUAAAUGAAAAAAAAAUAUUUGGGGUGUUCGGGCUUCCUGAAGGUAAUACCCGGGUAUUAGGUUAUGGGGCUAGGGUAAGGUUUAAGGUUUUUGGCGUAAGGGUUAAAAUCACUGUCCAAAACCUUUUUAGGAACAUGUUUAAGACCUUUUGGAGUAGGUUACACCAAAAAAAAAUGUAAAAUGAAAAAAAAAUAUUUGGGGUGUUCGGGCUUCCUGAAGGUAAUACCCGGGUAUUAGGUUUUUGGGCUGGGGUAAGGUUUAAGGUUUUUGGUGUUAGGGUUAAAAUCACUGUCCAAAACCUUUUUAGGAACUCUUUUCCAACCUUUUGGAGUUAGUUAGACCAAAAAAAAAAUGUAAAAUGAAAAAGAAUUUUUUUGAGUGUUCGGGCUUCCUGAAGGUAAUACUAGGUUUCUGGGCUAGGGUAAUGUUUUAGGUUUUUGGCGUAAGGGUUAAAAUCACUGUCCAAAACCUUUUUAGGAACUAUUUUCCAACCUUUUGGAGUUAGUUAGACCAAAAAAAAACGAAAAAUGAAAAAAAAUAUUUGGGGUGUUCGGGCUUCCUGAAGGUAAUACUAGGUUUCUGGGCUAGGGUAAUGUUUUAGGUUUUUGGCGUAAGGGUUAAAAUCACUGUCCAAAAACUUUUUAGGAACUAUUUUCCAACCUUUUGGAGUUAGUUAGACCAAAAAAAAAAGAAAAAUGAAAAAAAAAUAUUUGGGGUGUUCGGGCUUCCUGAAGGUAAUACUAGGUUUCUGGGCUAGGGUAAUGUUUUAGGUUUUUGGCGUUAGGGUUAAAAUCAAUGUCCAAAACCUUUGUAGGAACUCUUUUCCAACCUUUGAGAGCAAGUUAGACCAAAACAAAAAGAAAAAUAAAAAAUAUAUAUUUGGGGUGUUCGGGCUUCCUGAAGGAAAUACCCGGGUAUUAGGUUAUGGGGCUAGGGUAAGGUUUAAGGUUUUUCGGCGUGAGGGUAAAAAUCACUGUCCAAAACCUUUGUAGGAACUCUUUUCCAACCUUUGGGAAUAAGUUAGACAAAAAAAAUAAGAUAAAAGAAAAAAAUAUAUAUUUGGGGUGUUCGGGUUUCCUGAAGGUAAUACCCGGGUAUUAGGUUUUGGGGCUAGGGUAAGGUUUAAGGUUUUUUGUGUUAGGGUUAAAAUCACUGUCCAAAACCUUUGUAGGAACUCUUUUCCAACCUUUUGGAGUUAGACCAAAAAAAAAAAAAAUGAAAAAAAUAUAUUUGGGGUCUUCGGGCUUCCUGAAGGAAAUACCCAGGUAUUAGGUUAUGGGGCUAGGGUAAGGUUGAAGGUUUUUGGCGUUAGGGUUAAAAUCACUGUCCAAAACCUUUUUAGGAACAUGUUUCAGACUUUUUGGAGUUGGUUACACCAAAAAAAAAUGUAAAAUGAAAAAAACUUUUUUUGGGUGUUCGGGCUUCCUGAAGGUAAUACUAAGUUUUUGGGCUAGGGUAAUGUUUAAGGUUUUUGGUGUUAGGGUUAAAAUCAAUGUCCAAAACCUUUGUAGGAACUCUUUUCCAACCUUUGAGAGCAAGUUAGACCAAAAAAAAAAGAAAAAUAAAAAAUAUAUAUUUGGGGUGUUCGGGCUUCCUGAAGGUAAUACCCAGGUAUUAGGUUAUGGGGCUAGGGUAAGGUUUAAGGUUUUUCGGUGUGAGGGUAAAAAUCACUGUCCAAAACCUUUGUAGGAACUCUUUUCCAACCUUUGGGAAUAAGUUAGACAAAAAAAAUAAGAUAAAUGAAAAAAAUAUAUUUGGGGUGUUCGGGCUUCCUGAAGGUAAUACCCGGGUAUUAGGUUUUGGGGCUAGGGUAAGGUUUAAGGUUUUUGGUGUUAGGGUUAAAAUCACUGUCCAAAACCUUUUUAGGAACAUGUUUCAGACCUUUUGGAGUAGGUUACACCAAAAAAAAAAUGUAAAAUGAAAAAAAAAUAUUUGGGGUGUUCAAGCUUCCUGAAGGUAAUACCCGGGUAUUAGGUUUUGGGGCUAGGGUUAGGUUUAAGGUUUUUGGCAUUAGGGUUAAAAUAACUGUCCAAUAUUUUUUAAGGAACAUGUCUCAGACCUUUGGGAGUUAGUUAGACAAAAAACAAAGAAAAAGAAAAAAAUAUAUAUUUGGGGUGUUCGGGUUUCCUGAAGGUAAUACCCGGGUAUUAGGUUCUGGGGCUAGGGUUAGGUUUAAGGUUUUUGGCGUUAGGGUUAAAAUCACUGUCCAAAACCUUUUUAGGAACAUGUUUCAGACCUUUUGGAGUUGGUAACACAAAAAAAAAAAUGUAAAAUGAAAAAAAAAUAUUUGUGGUGUUCAAGCUUCCUAAAGGUAAUACCCGGGUAUUAGGUUUUGGGGCUAGGGUAAGGUUUAAGGUUUUUGGUGUUAGGGUUUAAAUCACUGUCCAAAACCUUUGUAGGAAGUCUUUUCCAACCUUUUGGAGUUAGUUAGACAAAAAAAAAAAAAAAAAUGAAAAAAAAAUGUUUAGGGUGUUCGGGCUUCCUGAAGGUAAUACCCGGGUAUUAGGUUAUGGGGCUAGGGUAAGGUUUAAGGUUUUUGGCGUAAGGGUUAAAAUCACUGUCCAAAACCUUUUUAGGAACAUGUUUCAGACCUUUAGGAGUUGGUUACACCAAAAAAAAUGUAAAAUGAAAAAAAAUUUUUGGGGGGUGUUCGGGCUUCCUGAAGGUAAUACUUUGUAUUACCUUUGUAGGAAGUCUUUUCCAACCUUUUGGAGUUAGUCUUUUGUAGGAAGUCUUUUCCAACCUUUUGGAGUUAGUUAGACAAAAAAAAAAAAGAUAAAUGAAAAAAAAGUAUUUGGGGUGUUCGGGCUUCCUGAAGGUAAUACCCGGGUAUUAGGUUUUGGGGCUAGGGUAAGGUUUAAGGUUUUUGGCGUAAGGGUUAAAAUCACUGUCCAAAACCUUUUUAGGAACAUGUUUCAGACCUUUUGGAGUUGGUUACACCAAAAAAAAUGUAAAAUGAAAAAAAAUUUUUUUUGGGUGUUCGGGCUUCCUGAAGGUAAUACUUUGUAUUACCUUUGUAGGACGUCUUUUCCAACCUUUUGUAGUUAGUCUUUUGUAGGAAGUCUUUUCCAACCUUUUGGAGUUAGUUAGACAAAAAAAAAAAGAUAAAUGAAAAAAAAAUAUUUGGGGUGUUCGGGCUUCCUGAAGGUAAUACCCGGGAAUUAGGUUAUGGGGCUAGGGUAAGGUUUAAGGUUUUUUGGCGUAAGGGUUAAAAUCACUGUCCAAAACCUUUUUAGGAACAUGUUUCAGACCUUUCGGAGUAGGUUACACCAAAAAAAAUGUAAAAUGAAAAAAAAAUAUUUGGGGUGUUCGGGCUUCCUGAAGGUAAUACCCGGGUAUUAGGUUUUUGGGCUAGGGUAAGGUUUAAGGUUUUUGGUGUUAGGGUUAAAAUCACUGUCCAAAACCUUUGUAGGAACUCUUUUCCGACCUUUUGGAGUUAGUUAGACCAAAAAAAAAAAAGUAAAAUGAAAAAGAAUUUUUUUGAGUGUUCGGGCUUCCUGAAGGUAAUACUAGGUUUCUGGGCUAGGGUAAUGUUUUAGGUUUUUGGCGUAAGGGUUAAAAUCACUGUCCAAAACCUUUUUAGGAACUAUUUUCCAACCUUUUGGAGUUAGUUAGACCAAAAAAAAACGAAAAAUGAAAAAAAAUAUUUGGGGUGUUCGGGCUUCCUGAAGGUAAUACUAGGUUUCUGGGCUAGGGUAAUGUUUUAGGUUUUUGGCGUAAGGGUUAAAAUCACUGUCCAAAACCUUUUUAGGAACUAUUUUCCAACCUUUUGGAGUUAGUUAGACCAAAAAAAAAUGUAAAAUGAAAAAAAAUAUUUGGGGUGUUCGGGCUUCCUGAAGGUAAUACUAGGUUUCUGGGCUAGGGUAAUGUUUUAGGUUUUUGGCGUUAGGGUUAAAAUCAAUGUCCAAAACCUUUGUAGGAACUCUUUUCCAACCUUUGAGAGCAAGUUAGACCAAAACAAAAAGAAAAAUAAAAAAUAUAUAUUUGGGGUGUUCGGGCUUCCUGAAGGAAAUACCCGGGUAUUAGGUUUUGGGGCUAGGGUAAGGUUUAAGGUUUUUGGUGUUAGGGUUAAAAUCACUGUCCAAAACCUUUUUAGGAACAUGUUUCAGACCUUUUGGAGUAGGUUACACCAAAAAAAAAAAUGUAAAAUGAAAAAAAGAUAUUUGGGGUGUUCAAGCUUCCUGAAGGAAAUACCCGGGUAUUAGGUUUUGGGGCUAGGGUUAGGUUUAAGGUUUUUGGCAUUAGGGUUAAAAUAACUGUCCAAUAUUUUUUAAGGAACAUGUUUCAGACCUUUGGGAGUUAGUUAGACAAAAAAAAAUAAGAUAAAAGAAAAAAAUAUAUAUUUGGGGUGUUCGGGCUUCCUGAAGGUAAUACCCGGGUAUUAGGUUAUGGGGCUAGGGUAAGGUUUAAGGUUUUUGGCGUUAGAGUUAAAAUCAGUGUCCAAAACCUUUUUAGGAACAUGUUUAAGACCUUUUAGAGUUGGUUA